rnacentral:tRNA from 1 species
CGGGACUUAAUUUAAGUAGAAUGCUGGCUUUGGGGGUCAGUAGUGGGGGUUAGAUUCCCUCAGUCUCGA